rnacentral:rRNA from 1 species
CCUACGGGAGGCAGCAGUGGGGAAUAUUGGACAAUGGGCGAAAGCCUGAUCCAGCAAUGCCGCGUGAGUGAUGAAGGCCUUAGGGUCGUAAAGCUCUUUUACCCGGGAUGAUAAUGACAGUACCGGGAGAAUAAGCUCCGGCUAACUCCGUGCCAGCAGCCGCGGUAAUACGGAGGGAGCUAGCGUUGUUCGGAAUUACUGGGCGUAAAGCGUACGUAGGCGGUUAUUCAAGUCAGAGGUGAAAGCCCGGGGCUCAACCCCGGAACUGCCUUUGAAACUAGAUAGCUAGAAUCUUGGAGAGGUCAGUGGAAUUCCGAGUGUAGAGGUGAAAUUCGUAGAUAUUCGGAAGAACACCAGUGGCGAAGGCGACUGACUGGACAAGUAUUGACGCUGAGGUACGAAAGCGUGGGGAGCAAACAGGAUUAGAUACCCUGGUAGUCCACGCCGUAAACGAUGAUAACUAGCUGUCCGGGCACUUGGUGCCUGGGUGGCGCGAGCUACGACAUUAAGUUAUCCGUCCGUCGGGUAGGUACGGUCGCGAAGAAUUAAAACUAACGAAAGAAGUUAGACGGACGUGAGACGUGCCGAACGGACGACGACGAGGGAGGUAGG